GGUUUUGGGGAUUUUUUAUUCUUUUGCUUGUGUUUUAUGUUAAGAUACGUGUGACAGUGUAGUUGACUUUUUUUUAGAGGGAUAUAUCAACUUUUAUCAGCAACCGUACAGUAUGUAAAUGUACAACAUUGUAUUCAUUGUACAGGACUAUUUGAGGGUUUUCUGUAUUUAUGGAAUUGAGAUAUUUUCAAAUAAAAAUGUUUUCAUAUAAUUUUUUGUUUUCAGUCUUUUAAUGUGUUUUUUCCCCAACUCAGUCCCCACAGAAGAGAAGUAGACAAAAUUUGUAAUACUCUUGCGGAAUUAGCAUGGCAAGAGAAGUAUUUAUUGUACAUACAACUCACCGCAUAUGGGCAGUAUACUGUAUGACCCUCUAACACAUUCUCAUGUCGGACUCGUUACAUAUAGACGCUUGUCCCCUGCGCGUCCGUCUUUGCCGACUGCGGCAUUUCCGAGUUUGCGUGACGUAUGAGGUUAACAUGAGGAAUCAGGAUUAAAGGUUAACUUUAGGGUCUGUGGUUAACAUGAGGUUAGGGGUUACUGGUUAACUUUAGGGUCUGUGGUUAACAUGAGGUUAGGGGUUACUGGUUAACUUUAGUCUGUGGUUAACAUGAGCGAUCAGGGUUCAUGGUUAACUUUAGAGUCUGUGGUCAGGGUUAGGCUCUAUAAGGCUAGUAGAAGUUAAAUUUCGGGUCUAGGACGGUUAGUUUUGCACAAUUCGAGCCUUGUAAAAACAUCGUCCUCCUCUGCCCCAUCUACAGAACGUCAACAUAAUGACGCUUGGUCAAGCGUCAUUAUGUUGACGCGGGGGGCAUGACAAUGGGCUCGUGAUUUAGAACAUUACCUAAACAAAAAGUAGUGUCAUCUGCAAAUAACACACCUGAACAACUUUUGACACAUUUACCAGGUCAUUGACAUAAAAGAAACAAUUUAGGACCAAGCACAGAGCCCUGUGGGACACUGCAAGUAACUACAUCAAAAACCGAACGUACAUCAUUUAUUUGUACAAAUUGUUUUCUAGUUGCUAAAUAAUUUGACACCCAUUGUGAAGCCAAACCUCUCACACCAUAGUUGUUAAAUUUGCUGACAAUAAUGCUGUGGUCAAUAAUGUCAAAGGCUUUCUUUAAAUCAAUAUUCACAGUAACACAAAUUUUCUUUUGAUCCGCAUCAGUAGUUAUCAGUUCAGUUAAAUUAACAAGUGCUGAAGACGUUGAAUGGUGAGUUCUGAAACCAUUUUGACUAUUACUCAAAAUAUUAUACCUAUCAAUAAAGCAAUCCAAUCUAAU